rnacentral:rRNA from 1 species
UUAAGCAUAUCAAUAAGCGGAGGAAAAGAAACCAACAGGGAUUGCCCUAGUAACGGCGAGUGAAGCGGCAACAGCUCAAAUUUGAAAUCUGGCGCAAGCCCGAGUUGUAAUUUGUAGAGGAUGCUUCUGGCCAGCGGCCGUUCUAAGUUCCUUGGAACAGGACGUCAUAGAGGGUGAGAAUCCCGUAUGUGACCGGCGCGCAGCCUUUACGUAGCUCCUUCGACGAGUCGAGUUGUUUGGGAAUGCAGCUCUAAAUGGGAGGUAAAUUUCUUCUAAAGCUAAAUACCGGCCAGAGACCGAUAGCGCACAAGUAGAGUGAUCGAAAGAUGAAAAGCACUUUGGAAAGAGAGUUAAAAAGCACGUGAAAUUGUUGAAAGGGAAGCGCUUGCAACCAGACUUCGUAGCGAUGUUCCGCUGGUCUUCUGACCGGUCUACUCAUCGUCGCGAGGCCAACAUCGUCUGGGGCCGCUGGAUAAGACCUAAGGAAUGUAGCUUCCCUCGGGAAGUGUUAUAGCCUGUGGUGAUGCAGCGUGUCUCGGGCGAGGUCCGCGCUUCGGCAAGGAUGUUGGCGUAAUGGUUGUCAGCGGCCCGUCUUGAAACACGGACCAAGGAGUCUAACAUCUAUGCGAGUGUUCGGGUGUCAAACCCCUACGCGUAAUGAAAGUGAACGGAGGUGGGAAGCGCAAGCUGCACCAUCGACCGAUCCUGAUGUCCUCGGAUGGAUUUGAGUAAGAGCAUAGCUGUUGGGACCCGAAAGAUGGUGAACUAUGCCUGAAUAGGGUGAAGCCAGAGGAAACUCUGGUGGAGGCUCGCAGCGGUUCUGACGUGCAAAUCGAUCGUCAAAUUUGGGUAUAGGGGCGAAAGACUAAUCGAACCAUCUAGUAGCUGGUUCCUGCCGAAGU